rnacentral:rRNA from 1 species
UCGGGAAUAUUGCACAAUGGAGGAAACUCUGAUGCAGUGACGCCGCGUGCAGGAAGAAGGUUUUCGGAUUGUAAACUGCUUUAGACAGGGAAGAAAAAUGACAGUACCUGUAGAAUAAGCUCCGGCUAACUACGUGCCAGCAGCCGCGGUAAUACGUAGGGAGCAAGCGUUAUCCGGAUUUAUUGGGGUUGUAAAGGGUGCGUAGACGGGUAAGCAAGUUAGUUGUGAAAUCCCUCGGCUUAACUGAGGAACUGCAACUAAAACCUACUUAUCUUGAGUGCAGGAGAGGAAAGUGGAAUUCCUAGUGUAGCGGUGAAAUGCGUAGAUAUUAGGAGGAACACCAGUGGCGAAGGUGACUUUCUGGACUGUAACUGACGUUGAGGCACGAAAUGUGUGGGGUAGCAAACAGGAUUAGAUACC